rnacentral:siRNA from 1 species
UGAACCAACUGGGAAUGUGAUGAU